GUAGAAUACAAACCUUGUGCUUAGUGUUGUAAGCUUUUGCAGUGAUCGUCUUUGUGAAAUACAAAUUGUUGAAAAUGGCGAAUCAGCAGCAAGGAUCGAGUCGGCCAUGGAUUCUCGAAGCAUUACCUCUUCUAGUAGUCAUACUAAUCGCUGCUCAUGUUCUCGCUUUGGUGUACUGGAUUUACCGGGUAGCAACUGAGAAACAGCCUCAGAGAAGUAAAAAGCACUAGCAAAUGUAGAUAGAUUGAUUUCAUUUUGCUUCAGCUUGUAGGAAAAUGCAAGGGAUUCAUUCUAUACUCACUCAAGGCCUCUUUGCCUAAGCAUACGUGAGUCUCCUUUUCUUCGUGAACACUGUGCAAUUAUGCUGGAAAAGUCUGGCAUGUGUUACACGUUAGUGGUACCGUUGUUGAGAAACUUCUUUCUUCUUCUAUAUUAACAUCAGUGUAAUUCUUCUGUAGGAUUUUUUUUGCAUCUCUAAUUCUCUUUUGCUGUGGUGUGUGUUUCAUGAGUUUUUACUAGAGCUUUUCAUCCACUUGUAAAUUUAGUUUAGUAUGAAAAUUGCAGCAACACAAGUUUGAGGAUUGUUAGUCAUAUAUAAGCAUGUUAAAAGUUUGUAGACACAAGAUUUUCUUCAUCCAAAAAUUGCUACAUUCCAACAUUUCAAACUUUAA